rnacentral:rRNA from 1 species
UUGAACGCUGGCGGCAGGCCUAACACAUGCCAGUCGCACGGUAACAGGAAGCAGCUUGCUGCUUUGCUGACGAGUGGCGGACGGGUGAGUAAUGUCUGGGAAACUGCCCGAUGGAGGGGGAUAACUACUGGAAACGGUAGCUAAUACCGCAUAACGUCGCAAGACCAAAGAGGGGGACCUUAGGGCCUCUUGCCAUCGGAUGUGCCCAGAUGGGAUUAGCUAGUAGGUGGGGUAACGGCUCACCUAGGCGACGAUCCCUAGCUGGUCUGAGAGGAUGACCAGCCACACUGGAACUGAGACACGGUCCAGACUCCUACGGGAGGCAGCAGUGGGGAAUAUUGCACAAUGGGCGCAAGCCUGAUGCAGCCAUGCCGCGUGUAUGAAGAAGGCCUUCGGGUUGUAAAGUACUUUCAGCGGGGAGGAAGGGAGUAAAGUUAAUACCUUUGCUCAUUGACGUUACCCGCAGAAGAAGCACCGGCUAACUCCGU